rnacentral:rRNA from 1 species
CCUACGGGCGGCAGCAGUGAGGAAUAUUGGUCAAUGGGCGGGAGCCUGAACCAGCCAAGUCGCGUGAGGGAAGACGGUCCUAUGGAUUGUAAACCUCUUUAGGAGGGGAGCAAUGCCGGGCACGCGUGCCCGGAGGGAGAGUACCCGCAGAAUAAGCAUCGGCUAACUCCGUGCCAGCAGCCGCGGUAAUACGGAGGAUGCGAGCGUUAUCCGGAUUGAUUGGGUUUAAAGGGUGCGUAGGCGGAUUUUUAAGUCAGCGGUAAAAUGUCCGGGCUCAACCCGGGCCGGCCGUUGAAACUGGGGAUCUUGAGUGGGCGAGAAGUAUGCGGAAUGCGUGGUGUAGCGGUGAAAUGCAUAGAUAUCACGCAGAACUCCGAUUGCGAAGGCAGCAUACCGGCGCCCGACUGACGCUGAGGCACGAAAGCGUGGGGAUCGAACAGGAUUAGAUACCCGAGUAGUC